rnacentral:rRNA from 1 species
GACGAACGCUGGCGGCGUGCUUAACACAUGCAAGUCGAACGAAGUGGCGAACGGGUGAGUAAUACGUGGGUAACCUGCCCUCCUUUUUGGGAUAAGCCUUGGAAACGGGGACUAAUACCGACUAAAGGGGGAUGGGCGCGCGGCUUAUCAGCGUGGUGGUGGGGUGAUGGCCUAACAAGGCGGUGAAGGGUAGCUGGGCUGAGAGGGUGAACGGGCACAUUGGGACGGAGAUACGGCCCAGGGGCGUACGGGGGGCGGAAGUGGGGAAUAUUGCACAAAGGGUGAAAGCCUGAUGCAGCGAGUCCGCGUGGGGGAUGAGGGUUUUAGGGUUGUAACACUCUUUAGCUAUCGAUCCGGUACGUGGAGAAGAAGCACCGGCUAACUACGUGCCAGCAGCCGCGGUAAUAC